rnacentral:rRNA from 1 species
AGAGUUUGAUCAUGGCUCAGGAUGAACGCUGGCGGCGUGCUUAGCACAUGCAAGUCGAACGAAGCACCUUGAUUUGAUUCUUCGGAUGAAGAUCUUGGUGACUGAGUGGCGGACGGGUGAGUAACGCGUGGGUAACCUGCCUCAUACAGGGGGAUAACAGUUAGAAAUGACUGCUAAUACCGCAUAAGACCACAGCACCGCAUGAUGCAGGGGUAAAAACUCCGGUGGUAUGAGAUGGACCCGCGUCUGAUUAGGUAGUUGGUGGGGUAACGGCCUACCAAGCCGACGAUCAGUAGCCGACCUGAGAGGGUGACCGGCCACAUUGGGACUGAGACACGGCCCAAACUCCUACGGGAGGCAGCAGUGGGGAAUAUUGCACAAUGGGGGAAACCCUGAUGCAGCGACGCCGCGUGAGCGAUGAAGUAUUUCGGUAUGUAAAGCUCUAUCAGCAGGGAAGAAAAUGACGGUACCUGACUAAGAAGCACCGGCUAAAUACGUGCCAGCAGCCGCGGUAAUACGUAUGGUGCAAGCGUUAUCCGGAUUUACUGGGUGUAAAGGGAGCGUAGACGGAGUGGCAAGUCUGAUGUGAAAACCCGGGGCUCAACCCCGGGACUGCAUUGGAAACUGUCAAUCUAGAGUACCGGAGAGGUAAGCGGAAUUCCUAGUGUAGCGGUGAAAUGCGUAGAUAUUAGGAGGAACACCAGUGGCGAAGGCGGCUUACUGGACGGUAACUGACGUUGAGGCUCGAAAGCGUGGGGAGCAAACAGGAUUAGAUACCCUGGUAGUCCACGCCGUAAACGAUGACUACUAGGUGUCGGGCAGCAAAGCUGUUCGGUGCCGCAGC